GUACAGGGGACCUAUAUCGAUGCUCAUGCCACUUAGCAGGUGACUUGGCUGAGGUUAAUGCAAUCAAACAAGUUUGUAUGGACACAUCAUAAUUGAAAAUGAAUGCCACUAAGUCAAUGAUUGGUGUCUUGAGCUUCUGGUGGUUUGUAAGCUAGGCAAUAACAACUGGGUGGAUGCAUCGAACUAUUAAUCAAGAAAACUUGGCGGAUGAUGUUACAAUUGACACAGUCCCUAACGUCAAGAAGCAGCCUGAAGUUAAUGUUGUUCUUGCUCAAGAAUGAUUAAUGGUGUCUAUUAUCAAAUUCCAGAAGUUAUAAGUGGUGGUAUUACAUAUUGAAGUUCUUUGCAUAAAUUCAACAUAGAUAUUGCACAGCGAAACUUAAAAAAAAAAGGAUAAUAAAUUAGAACAACCAUAAUCUACUGAAGUAUGGGAACAAUCAGCACUUUGUGGGGGCAAAAUAUCCCUAUAGUUGUAAUACAACAACAUAUUAUUGGUGUCUUAUUUAGAAAUUUUGUGGGGGCAGAUGCCCCCUCUACAUGAAUGUAAAUUUGUCCCUGCUUUAUAUCAUUGUUGAUUGGGAAUGAACCUUUGGAUUA